GGAUGCGAUCAUACCAACUCACAUGCACCGGAUCCCAUCAGAACUCCGAAGUGAAGCGAGUUUGGGCGAGAGUAGUACUAGGAUGGGUGACCUCCUGGGAAGUCCUCGUGUUGCAUCCCCUC
rnacentral:rRNA from 1 species